rnacentral:rRNA from 1 species
UUGGAGGGCAAGUCUGGUGCCAGCAGCCGCGGUAAUUCCAGCUCCAAUAGCGUAUAUUAAAGUUGUUGCAGUUAAAAAGCUCGUAGUUGAACUUCGGGGUUUACCCAUUGGUCAGGCUUAAUUGUCUGCACUGGUGAGAUGAAUCUCUACCUUCUGAGGAACUUUCAUGCCAUUUAUUUGGUGUGAUGGGAAAUCAGGACUGUUACUUUGAAAAAAUUAGAGUGUUUAAAGCAGGCUAACGUCUGAAUACAUUAGCAUGGAAUAAUGAAAUAGGACGGACUGAUUCUAUUUCGUUGGUUUCUAGGAUCACCGUAAUGAUUAAUAGGGAUAGUUGGGGGCAUUAGUAUUCAAUUGUCAGAGGUGAAAUUCUUGGAUUUAUUGAAGACUAACUACUGCGAAAGCAUUUGCCAAGGAUGUUUUCAUUAAUCAAGAACGAAAGUUAGGGGAUCGAAGACGAUCAGAUACCGUCGUAGUCUUAACCAUAAACUAUGCCGACUAGGGAUCGGACGAAGUUAAUUUUAUAAUGACGCGUUCGGCACCUUACGGGAAACCAAAGUGUUUGGGUUC